rnacentral:rRNA from 1 species
UACGUAGGUGGCAAGCGUUGUCCGGAUUUAUUGGGUUUAAAGGGUGCGUAGGCGGCCUAAUAAGUCAGUGCUGAAAUAUCCCGGCUUAACCGGGAGGGUGGCAUUGAUACUGUAAGGCUUGAGUGUAGUCGAGGUAGGCGGAAUUGACGGUGUAGCGGUGAAAUGCUUAGAUAUCGUCAAGAACACCGAUAGUGUAGACAGCUUACUAGGCUACAACUGACGCUGAGGCACGAAAGUGUGGGGAUCAAACAGG